rnacentral:rRNA from 1 species
CUGCGGAGGAUCAUUACCGUGGGGAUUCGUCCCCAUUGAGAUAGCACCCUUUGUUUAUGAGCACCAUUUGUUUCCUCGGCGGGCCUGCCCGCCGCUAGGACCCCCAAUAAACCUUUUGCAAUAGCAGUAUACUCAGUUAAAAAUACAAAUAUUAAAACUUUCAACAACGGAUCUCUUGGUUCUGGCAUCGAUGAAGAACGCAGCGAAAUGCGAUAAGUAGUGUGAAUUGCAGAAUUCAGUGAAUCAUCGAAUCUUUGAACGCACAUUGCGCCCUUCGGUAUUCCGUUGGGCAUGCCUGUUCGAGCGUCAUUUAACCCUUCAAGCUCUGCUUGGUGUUGGGCGUUUGUUCCGCCUCUGCGCGUGGACUCGCCUCAAAUUCAUUGGCAGCCGGUAAGUUGGCUUCGUGCGCAGCACAUUGCGUUACGGUUCCAGCCUGCCUCCUUCCACAAAAGCUUCUUCUAUUACUUUGACCCCGGAUCAGGUAGGGAUACCCGCUGAACUUAA